rnacentral:rRNA from 1 species
UACGUAGGGACCGAGCGUUAUCCGGAUUCAUUGGGCGUAAAGAGCUCGUAGGCGGCUAUUCAAGUCGAACGUGAAAUCUCGGAGCUCAACUCCGAGCCUGCGUUCGAUACUGGGUAGCUAGAGUCUGGUAGGGGGAUCUGGAAUUCCUGGUGUAGCGGUGGAAUGCGCAGAUAUCAGGAGGAACACCGGUGGCGAAAGCGGUUCACUGGCCCGACACUGACACUGAGGUGCGAAAGCUAGGGUAGCAAACGGG